rnacentral:rRNA from 1 species
UAUUGGUCAAUAGCCUAACGGCUGAACCAGCAACUUGGAGGAAUGUAUAGGGAAAACUGGUAAAAUGUGAUGUACCUAGUAGUAUUAGAAAUAAAUAUGAUAUUAACUAAGUUAAUUAAAAUUCUAAGUAGGUAUGUGAUUAUGACAAUAUCUGCAUAGGUCUUGACCAAGUCACGUGCCAGCAGUCGCGGUAAUACGUGGAAGACGAGCGUUGUUCAUCUUUAUUGGGUUUAAAGGGUACCUAGACAGUUAAUUAAACAAUAAGAUGUACUAAUUAACUAGAGUUUAAUGUAAGAAGGAUUGAGUACGGUGAGAGUAGAGAUAAAAUUUUUUGAUACCACUUAGGAACUGGUAACAGCGAAGGCUAC